rnacentral:lncRNA from 1 species
GGCCCUUACCAGAAGCCAGCACCAUGUCCUUGAACAGAGCAGCUUGCAGGACUAUGAGCCAUGAUAGAAUAACAGAGCACAGAUUUGGCUUCUCAUGUUAAACAACUGAACCGUCAGAAAAAUAUAUGAAAAUAAUGAUGUUUCAAGUAUCAGAGAACAAUCAGUGCAGACAGUAACACCUAGGAGAGAAGAACUAAUGAAAUGAGCUUUAAGAUUGCUGUGCAUACUGCUCGGAGAAUUUCCAGGCCAUAGCACAACUCAAAUAUCACAGCUCAACUGGCUAUCUGCUUAAGUUGAAGGGACAGAGUUGAACAUUCUGAGAAGUCAAAGUGGUUAGAAUUUGCAGGGCAGGUUACUGGAGAGAAGAGAAAUGCACAGACAUCCAAAUGUCUGCAGAUGGCUCCUGUAAAGUCUUCAGCUGAAUGCUGGUCAGCACAUUCACGUAAGGGAAUUAUCUGAAGGUAGGGGAAAAAAAAUCACCAGAAAGGAAUAAUCAGAACAAUCCCUACAGCUCACUCAGAGCCAGGAAUAGUUUGUGUUUUCACUAAUUCAAAUGAAAAAAAUAAUCUUGUUAAUAUACAAGGCAUCAAAAAGAGUGCUAAGAAAUAUUUCUCUUAAAGAGGAAAAAUUAGCUCUGGACUAAUGUGCUGGAAUUUCUAUUUUCUGGACUAGUGGCUACUCUGGAUCCACCUAACAAAGCAAAAAGCAGGAAUUGAAGUGAUCAAACUGUUUUCAAAUGAUGUAAUUGUGUCUCAGAAUAAAUUCUAAGUAUAUUUCACUGAGAUGGAAUAUGUAGGACCUAACAAAAUAAAUUUCAAAAUACCUAGCAUCUAAUAAAGAAAUGAGCAGAUAUUCAAUGAAGUAGGAAAAUAAGAUUCUUAAUUAAGAGGAAAAAAUAAUGAAAUGCCAAAAAUGAUAUAAUUAUUAAAAAAAGAAAAACAGUUUUGAUAUACUCUAUAUAUACUCAAGAUGACAGAUAAGCACAAACAUGUUAAGGAGAGGCAUGGAAGAUUACUGGACUUUUGAAGAUGAAAAAUACAAUGUCAAAGAGGAAAAAGGCAUUGCAUGGCAUUGCCAAGAGGUUAGAAAUGGAAGAAGAAUACAUUAGUGAACUUGAAGAUAUAUCAAUUAAACUAUCCUGGAUGAACUCAAGAGAGAAAAAUGAGUGAAAAAAAUGAACAGUAUCAGUGAGCUGUGAAAUAUCAAAUGACCUAAAAUACAUUCAAAUCAUAGAAUCCCCAAAGCAGAGGAAGAGGGCAGAGAAAUACAUGAAAAAUAAUGACUUCAGUUUUUUUUUUUUGUUUUCAAAUUGAUGAGAACUAUAAACCACAGAUUCAAGAAGCUUACAAACCCCAACCUUAAGAAACAUGAAAAAAACUGCAAGGGACAUCAUAAUCACAUUGCUUAAAACCAGUGAUAAGAAAAAAAAUCUUAAAAACAGCCACAGGAAAAAGAUACAUUAUGUAUAGGAAAAUGAAGAUAAGAAUACAAGUCAGGAUUACUGUGGCAGUACUUUUUUAAGUAAAGGAAGAAAAAAAAAGGACCUAUCAAACUAGAAUUCCAUAUUCUACAAAAAUAUCUUUCAAGGAAAAUGAAAAAAAAAAGGCAAUACAAAGGCUAACAAAAUUCACCACCAGCACUGCAAAGAAAUGUUAAAGGAAGUUCUUCAGGAAGAUAAAAAUCUCAAUCUAUUCAAGGAAUGAAGAUCAACAGAUAAAGUAUUACUUAAUGAAGAUAAAUGAAAACAUAUGCCCACACAAAGGAAUGUGAAUGGAAUAAAAAAGACAAGAAAACUAUGAUUCAAUUCCAUAAAAUUCCAGAAAAUGCAAGCUUGCCUGUCAUAACUGUAAGAAUAUCAGUGGUUGCUGGAGACAAAAGACAGGUGAUGACAGGGAAGAAUAGCUGUAUUACAAAGUGGCAUGAAAAUACUUCUUGGAGUGAUGGAUAUGUUUAUUUCCUUGAUUGUAGUGAUGGAUUUACAGGUAUGCACAUAUGUUAAGUUCACGAAAUUUUACACUUUAAAUAUAUACACUGUGCUACGUGUCAUUUAUAUCACAAUGAAGCUGUUCAAAUUAAUAAACCAUGACUCGGUACUUGAAACAAAUGACCUGCUCUUCAAUCCCAGCUUUUUCAUACAUUCUUUCUCUAGGUGACCAAAGGCAGGGAGUCUUACAUGUUAUUAGCAUCCCGUGACCUCUUAGCAAAUGUCAGGAACUCUUCUUAGUACUGUUCAUGGAUUAUAUCUUUAUAACGAAUUGAUAAAGUAAAUUAUAUCAUUAAUCUCUUAAAUGUUAUUUUUAAACUCUAUAGUUGACCUUUUAAAAUGGUUAAGUAACCUGUUUAAAGCCACAGAGUUAGAAGGUAAGUGGGAUUUAAUGCAGGCAUCUGAAAUUUGUGCCCAUACAUUUAUUAACAAGAUUGUAUUACUUCUGGUGGGGAAGUGAGUAUUAGGCUCCAAAUAAUGUGUUGAGGUAGAUUGAGUUCCACAAAGUGGCUGUCAGAUCAGAAGUCUUUAAAAGCAGAGCAGGAGACAUUGCUUCUGUUGCUGAUGAAAAACAAUUUAUUUACAACGGUGUUGACAGCCCUGGAGCCCAGGAAAGGUAAGGACUAGACUCUGCAUCCUGCCGGUAAAAAAUGAUGACUAAGUAAAGUUGAUUCUUCAUGUAAAUUGCUAAUAGAGUCACAGUUAUUGACAUAAGGUCCCCCCUGCCAAUCACUUAUGUCAGUACAGUUCUGGACAGGAAAAGAACAUGAAACAGAGAAAGGCUUGACAUUAAAGACAUGGGCGUCAAGAGAAGAGAUAUGUAGGAAUUAGUCUAGGCAGACAUUCGUUUCAAACACUGGAGUCUGCUUAGUAUAAUUAGGAGAGACAGAGGUGGUGAUUA